AUUUAAGGUAAGCAUUUGAAUGCCACGAAGUUUUAAAAGAUCUAUAAAACAAAUGAAAUCACUAUUAUGUGAAAAAAUUUUUAUAAAUAAAACUAUGAUAGGUUUAUUUUCAAUUUGCUUCACAGCUGCAUAUAUAUGUGUAUAUAUAUAUUAUCUAUCUAAAGGGCCGCAUGUGGCUCGCAAGCCGCAGUUUGCUGACCCCUGCUUUAUAUGUUUCUUAUUAGAUCCUGCUUUACUAAAUACAAUCCAGAAUACAAUAAAAAUUACAAAUAAAACCUGUCUUAAAUCAGAAUUUUCUAAAGUGUAGAUAUCUAAGGUGCAAAGCAAUGGUAAAAAUUAGUGAAUGUUUUUGAAAACAGUUUGCACAUAAAUGCAAAAUUCCAUAUGGUCCAUGCAUGCUAAUAAAUAUUUGUGUAGACUGAUUUAUGAAUACAGGAGAUCAUGGCAAUUUUUUUUUAUGAGAAAGGUGGGCAUUGUUAUAUGAAGUUUGGAAACUGCUG
rnacentral:lncRNA from 1 species